GGGGAUGACUGGUUUUGACAGCGUGUAGAGGUGGUCUGUAAGCAUGCAGAGAAAUGAUGCCUACUCUCUUUAAUCAGGGACAUCGACUUUAAUAAAUGGCGAAAACAACUACGCUCUUGCUGCCUAACCGAAGCUUAGUAAGUUAGCUUAAUCCUCGCCCAGGGCGGGGACAAGACGUCGCCCGAUUGUCGUUUUUCCGAGACUAAUCGACAAGGCGGCGCACGGAAAUCGGAAAUAGGAUGCGGAAAGCCCCGAAAAGCGUCCGAAAUCAUAGGGGAUAAGGACGGGAUUGGCUGUCGCGGGCCUGUCAAGUCACGAAAACCAAUUCGCGACUAAGCAUGUAGAAAGCAUAUCAGUUCCACGUUUGGACGAGGGUUCGACUCCCUCCAUCUCCACA
rnacentral:tmRNA from 1 species